rnacentral:lncRNA from 1 species
CCUCUCAAUCAUCCUCCACCUCUUUAACUCGUAUUUUUACCUGAUUUUACCAGUGUAUAGGCACAAAAAUAUAGGUGCCACCUCUCUCACUCCCUCCAUCCUUAAAAUAAAAAUAUAUUUAAUACAUAUCAUUUAGUGAUGAUGGUUCCAUGACUAAAUCAGAAAAAAAAAUAAAAAAAGUAGUGCCGCCUCCUCUAUGCCCUCCAAC